UGUGUAGGUGGUCAUGUUAGUCAGAUGUGAAAUACCGAGGCUUAACCUCGGAACUGCAUUUGAUACUGCAUAACUAGAGUAUGUUAGGGGAAAGGGGAAUUCCAGGUGUAAGGGUGAAAUCUGCAGAUAUCUGGAGGAACACCAGUGGCGAAGGCGCCUUUCUGGAACAAUACUGACACUGAGACACGAAAGCUAGGGUAGGCAAACG
rnacentral:rRNA from 1 species